GAUGAACGCUAGCGGCAGGCCUAAUACAUGCAAGUCGAACGAGAUUAAGAGGCUUGCUUCUUAUGAAAGUGGCGCACGGGUGCGUAACGCGUAUGCAACCUACCUUAGUCAGGGGGAUAGCCCGAAGAAAUUCGGAUUAAGACCGCAUAAAAACACAGGAUAGCAUUAUCCAAUGUUCAAAUAUUUAUAGGAUUAAGAUGGGCAUGCGUGGCAUUAGCUAGUUGGCGGGGUAACGGCCCACCAAGGCGACGAUGAGUAGGGGAUCUGAGAGGAUGAUCACCCACACGAGAACGGAGACACGAUCCAGACACCGAAGGGAGGCAGCAUUGGGGAGUAUUGGACAAUGGGCACAACCCUGAUCCAGCCAUACCGCUUUGAUGAAGAAGGCCUUCGGGUUGUAAAGCCCUUUUGUUGGGAAAGAAAAGUAGAAGGUUAAUACCCCGCUGUUCUGACGGUACCCAAAGAAUAAGCACCGGCUAACUUCGUG
rnacentral:rRNA from 1 species